rnacentral:rRNA from 1 species
CCUACGUGAGGCAGCAGUGAGGAAUAUUGGUCAAUGGACGAGAGUCUGAACCAGCCAAGUAGCGUGAAGGAUGACUGUCCUAUGGGUUGUAAACUUCUUUUAUAUGGGAAUAAAAUGUUCCACGUGUGGGAUUUUGUAUGUACCAUAAGAAUAAGGAUCGGCUAACUCCGUGCCAGCAGCCGCGGUACUACGGAGGAUCCGAGCGUUAUCCGGAUUUAUUGGGGUUAAAGGGUGCGUAGGUGGAUUGGUAAGUCAGUUGUGAAAGUUUGCGGCUCAACCGUAAAAUUGCAGUUGAAACUGGCGGUCGUGAGUACAGUAGAGGUAGGCGGAAUUCGUGGUGUAGCGGUGAAAUGCUUAGAUAUCACGAAGAACUCCGAUUGCGAAGGCAGCUCACUGGACUGCAACUGACACUGAGGCUCGAAAGUGUGGGUAUCAAACAGGAUUAGAUACCCCAGUAGUC